UAUUGUUGCCAGCUGACCAAGAUCGAAAGAGUGGGUUGAUUCGGUUUUAAAGUAUUCCGUCAUAGGAAGCUGAAAGACCUCAUGAACAGCAGGACAGAAAGGAUUGUUAAAUAUUUAAAUAUGUGAAAUUUAUGAAAAUAUAUAUGGAUAUAGACUUUUGUAAUAAAGUGUGUAUUAUUUAA